GUUGCAGAUGGAGGAAUAUGGGUGCUCCCGGACCGGCAGUGUCCACAGAAGAGACCUUGACCUGUUACAGCAGGCUUUGAAAGUGCUUUAGAGACUUGGUUGUAAUUUAAGUGCUGGGAAAGAAAAAAAAAAUGUGAACUAACUUAUUUAAUUUAUGGCAUUUUAAGACAACACUGUUAACCCGAUGGAACCAUUUUCCUGUUUGAUAGAAAAGGGAGAGAAGGAAUCCAAGCAGUUACCUGAGUGUCAGCUUGCAGGCCUUGGCACUGUGCAGGUGGUAGAGCCCUUUUGUCUUCCUGAGGCUGCUGCGUUCAGAGAGCAGUUGGUCUCGUGGCCCUUGCUUUGACAAGCACAUCGGGGGUGCUUUGCUUUUUGUAUAGUGGGGUGCAGGGAGUCCAAGGGCUCCUUGAACUUGCUCCUUCGAGGACUGGCUGCUCUAGCAUUUCAGAUACUUGAAGUCCAAUGCUCAGUCCUGCGCUAACUCCAGUCGCUGCCCUGUUCAGUGAUGUCUGGGGCUCAUUUCUGUACAGCCCACGAGGGUUUUAUGUGAUGCUAGAUAUGGUUUUAAGUGGCAACUCAGGCCCAGCACAUGUCCUUUUUGCCUGGUCAUGUGCUCUUUUUAUUCACUUGUAUACUGAUUACUUUUGAGGGUUCACCUUUCAAAGAGGGAACCUUAUUGGGACAAAAGGGCUUUUGAAAUUUUUUAGAUCUGUAACCAUUGAGG
rnacentral:lncRNA from 1 species